UACAGAGGGUGCGAGCGUUAAUCGGAAUUACUGGGCGUAAAGCGUGCGCAGGCGGCUUUGCAAGACAGAUGUGAAAUCCCCGGGCUCAACCUGGGAACUGCAUUUGUGACUGCAAGGCUAGAGUACGGUAGAGGGGAUGGAAUUCCGCGUGUAGCAGUGAAAUGCGUAGAUAUGCGGAGGAACACCGAUGGCGAAGGCAAUCCCCUGGACCUGUACUGACGCUCAUGCACGAAAGCGUGGGGAGCAAACAGG
rnacentral:rRNA from 1 species